GACUGAAACUAUUGCCUGUCUCCACCCUAUUGCUCCCCGUCACCACCUCACCCCCAUCAAAGGGGCAUAACAACACAGGGGAACCCAAAGUCUACACCCCUUAAACUACGACCUUCCAAAAUCAUGUCCGGAGCUUUCGCCGACACCGCAGACUCCUUAGCGGCUAAGGGUGAGUGCGCCGGCUCCCUUGCCUCGGGUCAGCAGCACCCCGGGGCUGGGGCCCCUGCAGCAGCCGCACCAAAAAGUUUCAUCCACAACCUUAAGUUUGGAAACUAUUGUUUGCCCAGCGAAGGGUUCCCAUUAUUCCUGGCUGGCGGUCCAUCUCCUUGCCUGUCUCUCGGGGAGUGAUUCGGUCCGGGACACUAGGACUCUGCUUGGAGGCCUGCUGUUGCCUAAAAACCCCAAGCGCGGGCCUCUUCAAGGCCCCAGGUUCGAGAUCCGAACCCUCCAGUAACGUCCUCAGACUCCUCCCCCUUCACUGCAGCCCGGGCAAUACUCGGGCCUAGCUCCUGAGAGCGGCGCCGUUGGCUUACGUAGCAGCACGUGAUUGGCCACCGCUCCCUGGCAGGCCGGGAUUGGUGGGAGACGGGCCGACCCCGCCCCUCGCCCCCGCCUCCGGCCCGAGGCCGCACGGGUGUCCUCGCGCUGCUAGUCCGCGCGCAGCCUGGCAGUUUGCCGCUUCCUCGUCCUCCAUCCUGCGUCCAUGGCCACCGCUGCGACUGAGGAGCCCUUCCCUUUUCACGGUCUUCUGCCGAAGAAGGAGACCGGAGCCGCCUCCUUCCUCUGCCGCUACCCGGAGUAUGAUGGGCGGGGGGUGCUCAUCGCAGUCCUGGACACGGGGGUCGACCCGGGGGCUCCGGGCAUGCAGGUUACAACUGAUGGAAAACCAAAAAUCGUUGAUAUCAUUGAUACAACAGGAAGUGGCGAUGUGAAUACUGCUACGGAAGUAGAGCCAAAGGAUGGUGAGAUUGUUGGCCUUUCAGGAAGAGUGCUUAAGAUUCCUGCAAGCUGGACAAAUCCCUCAGGCAAAUAUCAUAUUGGCAUAAAAAAUGGCUAUGACUUCUAUCCUAAGGCACUCAAGGAAAGGAUACAGAAAGAACGGAAGGAAAAAAUCUGGGACCCUGUUCACAGAGUGGCCCUUGCAGAAGCCUGUAGAAAACAGGAAGAAUUUGAUGUUGCCAACAACGGCUCUUCUCAAGCAAAUAAACUAAUCAAGGAGGAACUUCAAAGUCAAGUGGAAUUGCUAAAUUCUUUUGAGAAGAAAUACAGCGAUCCUGGCCCUGUAUAUGACUGCUUGGUAUGGCAUGAUGGCGAAGUCUGGAGAGCCUGCAUUGAUUCUAAUGAAGAUGGGGACUUGAGUAAAUCUACCGUGUUGAGAAACUACAAAGAAGCCCAAGAAUAUGGCUCUUUUGGCACAGCUGAGAUGUUGAAUUACUCCGUUAAUAUAUACGAUGAUGGAAACCUGCUCUCCAUUGUGACCAGCGGAGGAGCUCAUGGGACACAUGUAGCUAGUAUAGCUGCUGGACACUUUCCAGAAGAACCUGAACGGAAUGGGGUAGCUCCUGGUGCUCAAAUUCUUUCCAUCAAGAUUGGUGAUACAAGACUAAGCACAAUGGAAACAGGCACAGGCCUCAUAAGAGCUAUGAUAGAAGUUAUAAAUCAUAAGUGUGAUCUUGUCAACUACAGUUACGGAGAAGCAACUCACUGGCCAAAUUCUGGGAGAAUUUGUGAAGUAAUUAAUGAAGCAGUAUGGAAGCAUAAUAUAAUUUAUGUUUCAAGUGCUGGAAAUAAUGGUCCAUGCCUGUCUACAGUUGGUUGUCCAGGUGGAACUACAUCAAGUGUGAUUGGUGUUGGUGCUUAUGUUUCUCCUGAUAUGAUGGUUGCUGAGUAUUCACUGAGAGAGAAAUUACCUGCAAAUCAAUAUACUUGGUCUUCUAGAGGACCUAGUGCUGAUGGGGCCCUUGGUGUGAGUAUCAGUGCGCCAGGAGGAGCCAUUGCUUCUGUUCCUAACUGGACACUGAGAGGGACGCAGCUAAUGAAUGGAACAUCUAUGUCUUCCCCCAAUGCAUGUGGAGGCAUUGCCCUGAUCCUUUCAGGUCUGAAAGCUAAUAACAUUGACUACACAGUUCAUUCAGUCAGAAGAGCUCUAGAAAACACUGCAGUGAAGGCUGACAAUAUAGAAGUAUUUGCUCAAGGACAUGGUAUUAUUCAGGUUGAUAAAGCCUAUGACUACCUCGUUCAGAAUACAUCAUUUGCUAAUAAAUUAGGUUUUACUGUUACUGUUGGAAAUAACCGUGGCAUCUACCUCCGAGAUCCUGUUCAGGUGGCUGCACCUUCAGAUCAUGGCGUUGGCAUUGAACCUGUAUUUCCGGAGAACACAGAAAACUCUGAAAAAAUAUCCCUUCAGCUUCAUUUAGCUCUGACUUCAAAUUCAUCUUGGGUUCAGUGUCCCAGCCAUUUGGAACUCAUGAAUCAAUGUAGACACAUAAACAUACGUGUGGAUCCCAGGGGCUUAAGAGAAGGAUUGCAUUAUACAGAGGUAUGUGGCUAUGAUAUAGCAUCCCCUAACGCAGGUCCGCUCUUCAGAGUUCCGAUCACUGCAGUUAUAGCAGCAAAAGUAAAUGAAUCAUCACAUUAUGAUCUAGCGUUUACAGAUGUACACUUUAAACCUGGUCAAAUUCGAAGGCAUUUUAUUGAGGUUCCUGAGGGUGCAACAUGGGCUGAAGUGACAGUGUGUUCGUGUUCUUCUGAGGUGUCAGCAAAGUUUGUUCUACAUGCGGUCCAGCUUGUGAAGCAAAGAGCAUAUCGAAGCCAUGAAUUCUAUAAGUUUUGUUCUCUUCCAGAGAAAGGAACACUGACUGAAGCUUUUCCUGUCCUAGGUGGAAAAGCAAUUGAAUUUUGCAUUGCUCGUUGGUGGGCAAGUCUCAGUGAUGUCAACAUUGAUUAUACCAUUUCUUUCCAUGGGAUAGUGUGUACUGCUCCUCAGUUAAACAUUCAUGCAUCGGAAGGAAUCAACCGCUUUGAUGUUCAGUCCUCCUUGAAAUACGAAGAUCUGGCUCCCUGCAUAACUUUGAAGAACUGGGUCCAAACACUGCGCCCAGUGAGUGCAAAAACAAAACCUUUAGGAUCAAGAGAUGUUUUGCCAAAUAACCGUCAACUUUAUGAGGUGGUCCUGACAUAUAACUUUCAUCAACCCAAGAGUGGGGAAGUAACUCCAAGCUGCCCACUACUUUGUGAACUAUUAUAUGAAUCUGAAUUUGACAGCCAACUAUGGAUUAUUUUUGACCAGAACAAAAGACAGAUGGGUUCAGGCGAUGCCUAUCCACAUCAGUAUUCUUUGAAACUGGAGAAAGGAGAUUAUACAAUUCGACUACAGAUUCGCCAUGAGCAAAUCAGUGAUUUGGAACGCCUUAAAGACCUUCCAUUUAUUGUUUCUCAUAGAUUGUCUAAUACCUUGAGCUUAGAUAUUCAUGAAAAUCAUAGUUUUGCACUUCUAGGGAAGAAGAAAUCAAGCAAUUUGACAUUACCACCCAAAUAUAACCAGCCAUUCUUUGUUACUUCCUUACCUGAUGAUAAAAUACCUAAAGGGGCAGGACCUGGAUGCUAUCUUGCAGGAUCCUUAACAUUGUCAAAGACUGAACUAGGAAAGAAAGCUGGGCAGUCUGCAGCAAAACGACAAGGAAAAUUUAAAAAGGAUGUAAUCCCUGUUCAUUACUACUUAAUACCUCCACCAACAAAGACUAAGAAUGGCAGCAAAGAUAAGGAAAAAGAUUCAGAAAAAGAGAAAGAUUUAAAAGAAGAGUUUACUGAAGCAUUGCGAGAUCUUAAAAUUCAGUGGAUGACAAAGCUGGAUUCUAGUGACAUUUAUAACGAAUUGAAAGAAACAUAUCCUAAUUAUCUUCCUCUGUACGUUGCACGACUUCAUCAAUUGGAUGCUGAAAAGGAACGAAUGAAAAGACUUAAUGAAAUUGUUGAUGCGGCAAAUGCUGUUAUUUCUCAUAUAGAUCAAACAGCCCUAGCAGUUUAUAUUGCAAUGAAGACUGAUCCCAGGCCUGAUGCAGCUACUAUAAAAAAGUACCUAACCAGUUGCCUUCUGAUUUCUGCAUCAUUCCAGCCCUUCUCUGGGCAGCCAGGAUCCAUCAGGCAGCAUUUGCCGAGUCUGCCCUGCAGACUCUGGCCGAGCGACGGAUGAAAGGAGUGCUCAGACACAGUGACAUGGACAAACAAAAAUCCACCCUCGUAGAUGCCCUUUGUAGGAAAGGUUGUGCCCUGGCAGACCAUCUUCUUCACACCCAGGCUCAAGAUGGAGCCAUUUCCACGGAUGCAGAAGGAAAGGAGGAGGAAGGAGAAAGUCCUUUGGAUUCUCUGGCAGAAACAUUUUGGGAAACUACUAAAUGGACUGAUCUCUUUGACACUAAGGUUUUGACAUUUGCAUAUAAACAUGCAUUAGUAAAUAAAAUGUAUGGGAGAGGCCUUAAAUUUGCAACUAAACUUGUGGAAGAAAAACCAACAAAAGAAAACUGGAAAAAUUGUAUUCAACUGAUGAAGUUACUUGGAUGGACCCAUUGUGCAUCUUUUACUGAAAACUGGCUCCCCAUCAUGUAUCCUCCCGAUUAUUGCGUAUUCUAAAAUAGGAAACAAGACUUUAAAUUUUAAAAAAGGAAGUUUUAUAGUGAAUGGAUAUAAAAACAAAUUUGUGGCAUUUUUAGUCUAAUGCAUGUUUUCAUCCACUAUCCAGUACUGAUUAUUAAAAUGACAUGUAUUUAUCAGAGAA